rnacentral:rRNA from 1 species
UCUUCCACAAUGGGCGCAAGCCUGAUGGAGCAACACCGCGUGAGUGAAGAAGGGUUUCGGCUCGUAAAACUCUGUUGUUGAAGAAGAACGUGCGUGAGAGUAACUGUUCAUGCAGUGACGGUAUUCAACAAGAAAGUCCCGGCUAACUACGUGCCAGCAGCCGCGGUAAUACGUAGGUGGCAAGCGUUAUCCGGAUUUAUUGGGCGUAAAGCGAGCGCAGGCGGUUGCUUAGGUCUGAUGUGAAAGCCUUCGGCUUAACCGAAGAAGUGCGUCGGAAACCGGGCGACUUGAGUGCAGAAGAGGACAGUGGAACUCCAUGUGUAGCGGUGGAAUGCGUAGAUAUAUGGAAGAACACCAGUGGCGAAGGCGGCUGUCUGGUCUGCAACUGACGCUGAGGCUCGAAAGCAUGGGUAGCGAACAGG